UCCGUAGGCGGUGCGGCAAGUCGGAAGUGAAAUCUCAGGGCUUAACCCUGAGGCUGCUUCCGAAACUGCCGUGCUGGAGUGCGAGAGAGGCGAGUGGAAUUGCAGGUGUAGCGGUGAAAUGCGUAGAUAUCUGCAGGAACAUCCGAGGCGAAAGCGGCUCGCUGGAUCGCAACUGACGCUGAGGGACGAAAGCUAGGGGAGCAAACAGGAUUAGAUACCCUGGUAGUCCUAGCCCUAAACGAUCAGGACUGGGCGUGGGCCUCGUACGGGGCUCGUGCCGCAGCUAACGCGUUAAGUCCUGCGCCUGGGGAGUACGGUCGCAAGGCUGAA
rnacentral:rRNA from 1 species